UAUAGAUAUAGAUAGAUAUAGAUAUAGAUAUAGAUAGAUAUAAUGUAGCUCACCAUAAUGCAGAACCGUUGGAGAUUAAUUUAUUAAAAAAAAAGAACUGCGACUCAAACAAGUGCAGGAAAUUGGCACAGGAGGAAAUGGUCUUUAUUAUUAUUAUUAUUAUUCUUAUUCUUCUUCUUCUUAUUAUUAUUAAUAGUAGUAGUAGUAGUAGCAUAUUUUAAUAACACCCUGCACCAUGCAUUUAUAUGCAGAGAAAAAAAUGUAAAAUAAAAAAAAGUAUUAUUUUUGUGCGGCCCGAUGGUUGGGGACCUCUGCUAUAUGGUGUCCAGGUUAGUGCUCUGUUUUUAUUUUUUAUUUAUUUAUUUUUUUUAGACAGAUAGAUUUGUAAAGAAACUGAGACAAUAUUAUUAUUUUUUGUUAUUUAUUUAAAAAAAAUGCUGCUUUACAUAACGCCGGCCAAGUAACGUAGCCUAAAUGUACACUGAGAUGAGAUUGACUAGGCCUCUUCGGCAGCUUUAUACGCCCAAAAUAACUUUGCAAAAUAUGUCUAAAGUGAAUCAGCGCAACAUUGAUGCUAAAUCCUGGAUUCACGUGGCUGUUUCUCGAGGAUCUCAAUUUAAAAAUACAUAUACAUUCAUCACCCGAAGAGUCCAUCCACUGGGGGGAAAAAGAAAUGAAACCAAUGUUGUGUGCACUGCAGCUGAUCUGGAGACAGUGUCACGUUAACAAACGGAGGACAACAACAACAACAACAACAACAGCUAUCAGCAUGACUGGCACAUGCGUCUGUCUGCGAGGAGCAGAAGCCUGCAAUCUGAUUGGCUGGAAUAGGAGUUUCGGCGACCAAUCAGUGAUCUGCAAAGGAUGAUUAUGGAACCUCUUGAAUCUGAUGAACUUCUCUGCGGAAGUUGUGGAGCAAAUUCCUGCAAACGGAGCAAAAAAAUCAACCUUUUCAAGAUUAAAAAAACAGCAAGGAAAGUAAGUGGAAUCAGAACUGCCUCGCCAAUGUUUGGAACGGAAGAUCACCUAGACCAGGCACACAUCAACAAUACGUCACAUAAAUGGAGUGUGAGUAUGGUCAGAUUCAACUGAGAACCAAAAACUAUUUCCUUGCAGGAGUUGAGAGCACUUCUUAUGAUCUACAAUAAAGGAAUAACUUUUACCCAUGGAGUCUAAGUGAAUUUCAAGAUGAUGAAAAACUGACACAGUCUAAAGACAGCAAGUGGCUUAUGCACUGAUAUGAACUAAUUUAAAGGAGAAUUUACUUGAAUAACAGAUCAUAGUCAUGUACGCUUUAUGAAACAUGAAACACUGUGUUCCUGAUGUGUUUUAGACUAUAAGAGCAGGUAUGUGUGUGUGUGUGUGUGUGUGUGUGUGUGUGUGUGUGUGUGUGUGUGUGUGUGUGAGUGUAUUUGAAUGUUCUCACAGGUAAACAUCAUGAAUACGGCACAUACCAACGUUGCAUAUCAUCUGCUAUACCAAAACAUAGAAUUGCAUGCUUGAAAACUGUGCAUGCAAUCAGACAAAAACACCGAAACAGCUUCAAAUCUAUUUAUUAAAGAAUAUGGGAGCAAUUUCAACAUUAAUCAAACAUAGUUCUGUUGAUUGACGGCCUUGGGUAAUGUUGUAAAAUCUAUUUUUUAAUCUUUUGCAUUUUUUUAUAGAAACCAAAUUGUUUAGACUGGUGACACUUUUUUUAAAAGCUGUCUGCUGAUUUUGCAGAAUGAUUUUCUUCCUUAUUAAAUGAUUUAGCCUUCAAAGAGUGGAUGAACGUUCAGAAUAUUCACACCAUAUGAACAGCCUCGGUCCCCAACAAUGUUGGCACAGGGCAAAAGCUAAGCGACAUGCUUUUGAUUUCACAUUAUUCCUUUUUAUAAUGAUGUAUACAUAUUGUUUGAAAUAACCUUCAGAUCAAAAUGCUGUAUCACCUGUCAUGUAAAGCAUCUACCUCAAUGUUAUGAUCUAUAUUUCUGCCAAAAGCUUUGCCCUGGGAAAGCAGCAUCAGUCAUGCGACUGGGCCAUCAUUAAAGCAAUGUGUUGUUUACUCUGCCGUGCAGUCAGAAGCAGUUAUGUAUCAUGUUCAAAAUAGCAUGACUCACUUGUCCUCAUUCUCCAUUCUAGAUGGCUGUUGUGUCUAUGCAUUGCUGGUUGUUGUGUCUAUACAAGUUCUUAUUCAUUUGCAGUGCUACCUGGUGUCCUUUUUGGUACAGUUAUGCAAAGUCUUCAAUAUAGUAUCUGACCCUGAUUGACAGGUAACUGUGUAGUCCAGAGUGUAGUCCAUAUCAAUCAAUACAUUACACAGCAUCCAGUUGUUAAAUCCUGUUUUUGGGUGUAGUGUCUGUCAAGCUGCAUAAAUAUUGCACUGUAUUGUUCGCUUUUAAGUCCACUGUCUAAAUAUAAAAGAGAAAUCUGCAAUUAUAAUAUGCAACAUCAAAAAACACAACUUCAGUAGUCUAUGGAAGAACAGAUACACUAUUUAAAAUUCACUCUUCUUUCUACUUGCAUGCUCUGCAGUAAGGAUAGUUGCUUAGACCAACUUGUUAGUGAAGUGCGACAGUAGCCUUAACAGAUUAUUAAGAGAAAUACGUAUUACUUUGUUAAAAAAUUACCUUAUUCACAAUAAACAUUAGCGCAUGGCAAAUAAGAAUCAAUUUGAUGGUAUAAAAUAAAGUAGUAGUAGAAAAACCCUUGUUUUUUAGUUAUUAUACACUUUGAGGUCUUCCUAGAGAAAGCUAAAUGCUUUUGUUUUGUUUCCUGUAAAUGCCAACCCCCCCAACCCCCAACCCCCACCCAACACCAUCACCACUGCAAUUAAUCUGAGUGUUUGUGUCUUGCUUUUUUUCUGCUGAGUGAAUAUGGACAGUGAAGUCUGAGAUGGGGAUUGUUGGCUUACUGAUGGAUGCAUACAUUUUAAAAGCAGUUUUUAUGCACAAGAAUGAGUAUUCAAGGAACAUGUGAACGUAUGUCUGUGCAAAGUACCUCAACAUAUAAUGCACAUAUACUCACCUCAUCAGGAACGGCUUGGUACCUUUUGUUGGGUUUUGGUGAGGGACGACGCUGAUAACAAAACAGCCUUAAACUGAAUUAAUGAAGAGCUUAUUACACGUUACUUUCAUGCUAUACGUACUGUAGGCUACUGAAUUUUUUGAGUUGUUGAGUUGAGUUCUAUUCAAAAUGUGACUAAACUUGAAAACGAAACAAAUUUUCAACUAGAGAACAGAAAAACAUAGACUGGUGUACAAUUAUAUUUGGCCUGGUUUUUGAUCGUGGAUUUACUGAAAACAUAUUUAUAUAUUUGACAUCAGUGCUAUGAUUUAGUUUGAUGCAAUUAUGACACUUUCUACUUGCUGAAAAAUUCAUUUCUGAUAUAGCCGGUGUGGUUCCUGUCACAGUAACUUUCAUAAAAUUUUCGUUUGUUGUGUCCCUUUACCCAUUUAUAAACAUAAUGUUUAUAUAUUGAAUAUAGGGAAGUGUUACUACAUUUGCCAUUGGAACAUUAUACUGCAUAUUACCGUGGCUCCCGUUUUGACAAAAAAAAAAAAAAAAAGGCAGUGAGAAUGCUGGCCCACAAUUGUAAUACAUCUACAAACAUAGAGUACAAAUAUUAAAUAACAUAAAAAACAAGUUAUUUAGUAUUACGGCAGAAUUAUCAUUGUAUAGGGUGCAACACUAGGUUUAGCUGCUAGAUAUUUUUGGGCUUUGCCCCUUCAGUUCCUUUAAAGUUCCUUUCCUACUGCACCUCACCCAUAACAUGCCAGCAUGAAUAUGAUUGCUCACAAUUAGCAAACUAGAACAUGAAUACCAUAAAUCACUUCUUUUCUGAUUCAAUACCAAGCAUUUGUUUGCAAAAUGUUUUUGGAAAUAUGGCUAUUUAACUGCUUUGGCAAAUACCUGUUCUGCUUCAUUGCAUUACGCUCAUUAUAUUUAUUGCAUGCACAGUGCCAGGUGUAAAGAUGUUUCACAGUUCUAGGAACAAAAUGUGAAUUAUCUACCCCACAAAAUGGCAUUAGCUAACUGCGAUGGAGCAUGGCUUUCAUCAGCUACAGACUGACCCACUUACAAAAAACUAGACAGGUGUUAUUAUUACUUCUACCAAGGGUUUUAAUAUCAUUGCUGAACUUAGAGAAGUUUUUUUUUCCUGGGGUACAUGCUGUCUUUCACUUUUGCACAGCUCAUCAUUCAAAGAUGCUCAUAGGACUGCAAGCCUUUCAGCAUCAGUACAGUCGAGAGAGGGAGAGGCAAGAGAGUUGGAGGCAAAUUUAAGGAACUUUGAUUUCGAACUUUGGUCGCACAGCUAGAACCAUCUUAUCACACGUCUUUUAUUGAAGACACUCAGUUCAAAUGGCACAUAGGUUUUGUUUUUACACUCUGAACGUUUUUUCUUUCUUUCAGUGUUUAAAAGUUGUACAAUUACACAACAUUAGUCACAUGGCUUAAUAGGGAUGUGCAAUGCUAAACAGCUAUAGAUAUGUCAUGCUAAUAAUCAUUGUACAUCAUGUAGGCAGAGAUUUAGUCAUAUAUUCCAUAUUUGAGAGUAUUCUGCACUCUGUGUAUUUUUCAUGCUCUGUAUAUGCCAUCUUGAAAUGCAAGUGGUGGAUUCAGGGCAUGUCAUGCAACACUGAUGUCUAAUUUAUUCCCAUAUUUGUUUUUACAUCCAUAUUUUCUGAAUCUGUUCUGAAGAAUGAGGUGGAGGAUAAAGAGUUAUGCAGUUAAAUCUUUAGACUAUAUUUAUAGUUAGCUAUGUGCAGGUUCCUAGUUAUGUAUGGUGAGCAAUAAUGCAUGAUAUAAUCAUAAGCAUAUCAUUAAAAAAAACAUUGUUUAACAAAAAAAAAAAAACGGUUGAGCUGCACACAUGCUGUUUGGUUGUAUUUGCAUACAUACCCUUAAAUGGUGCCUUACAUACAGCAUAUCAUGUCAUAUUGUUAUUGAGAUCUCAUUACAGAAUGCAUUAUACAUAGCAUACACAGAUGCAGUGUAGGUGUUAUGUCCUUUAGAUGAUGUAGAUCCUGUAAAUUGAAAGGUGGACGGUAGAUGCUUUGACACAUUACGUUGACUUCACAGUAUGAUUACAAAAUAAAAUAGGAUAUCGCAUGUACCGAAUGUCAAAAUUAUUUUAGGAUGCUGUUCUCGGAGGCAUGUUACAUGCUGUCAUAUUUCAUCGAGACCUUACAAUGCCUUAUCAUGGAAAGUCAGAAGGACCAAAUUGAUGUCAAACCAUUACAAGGAGGUUUGUAGAGGACAAUUUCCAAUUUGCUUCAAGCUUAAAAUCAAGAGUAUAGAGUAUAGAAAAUCAGGCAAGACCACACACCACAUGCAGUCAGUUUAUAAUCCGGUCUGACUCUCUUAAAGCUCAUUAAAAUACUUCCCACUCUAAUACAGUGUGUUUUUGUUUUUCAGGAGAUAAGUCAGAGUUAGUUACAAAGCAGUACAAUGUAAGCAAUAGCAUCAUCCAUCUAAGCAACUUCAUUACUUUUCUUUUUAAGAAUGUGCUGUCAGGAUGUAGAGCAUUACUUAAACACUGGUGCAUUUCUGAAAUUACGCAUUGCAUCUCUCGAAAUCGUUGCAGAAUCUAUAUCGACUAGUCUUCAGUCCUCCGUGUCUCUGUGUUCAUGUGUAGAUUACGCACAUGUGCAUGUGCUAAUGCAGGUACUGACCUACAGUAAAGCCUUGUCCAUUUACAACAUGUUAACACUGUGCAGUCUUUUUUAUCAUACAUGAUGUAUAAGCUUUGAGAAGCUCCAUGAGCAGUCACUAUGUCUUGUCCUGCUUCUGUACUGUACCAUUACCUAUCAUUCUUGACGUGUGAAAAUACAAGAGACCUUAAAAUUCUAAUUGCCGUUUUGUAGUGUCUUCUGUCUUGUGUAGGUCAGAUGAGUGCGUGAUGAAUUCAAUGUGUGGUUAAAUAUGUACAAUGUGUGAAGUACAGGAAAUUAGCAAAUAUUGAUAGAGAGUACAUUCUAGGGUUAAAAUAAUGUAUAUAUGUACGAUCUGUAAAUGUACAUGGCAUAUGUACGCAAUAAAAUCAAUUUGAAUAAAA